GAGAAACGCUGGCGGCGCACAUAAGACAUGCAAGUCGAACGGAAUCCAGCCGAAUGUUUACAUGAGGCGAAGAUUUAGUGGCGGACGGGUGAGUAACACGUGAGCAACCUACCUUAGAGAGGGGGAUAACAUUGAGAAAUCAGUGCUAAUACCGCAUAAAGCUAUAGUACCGCAUGAUACAAUAGCCAAAGGAGAAAUCCGCUCCGAGAUGGGCUCGCGGCUGAUUAGCCAGUUGGUGGGGUAACGGCCUACCAAAGCGAUGAUCAGUAGCCGAGCUGAGAGGCACAACGGCCACAUUGGGACUGAGACACGGCCCAGACUCC
rnacentral:rRNA from 1 species